UUCCGACACCGGGAAUCGAACCCGGGCCUCCUGGUUGAGAGCCAAAUAUGGUAAAAUCCCAUUAAAGGA